UCUUCUUGCUGUUCCGGGCUAUCCCCGGAGUGGAAGUGGUGGCCACAAUUGGAAUUUGAGCCGCCAUUCCUACCCCGAGUCUUCCUCCUACCCCCUCCCCACUUGGUCCCAGUGCAGGCCCUGGAACUUCCGGCCCGCCGUUACUUCCGUCUUAAUGCUUUUGAAAACCCGGCCUGGACUCCGAAAGCUUUCGUUGACUUCUCUCGGCCAAAUGUAAAAGGCGGAGCUCGGAGCUGUCUCUUCCUUCCGGGCGGGAGGGCGUCUGGCGGGCGGAGUGCUGCUGUUCACGAGCUCGGACCCGGGCACGUGCUUGGACGUCCCCAGGGAUUGAGGAUUAGAACAUCCCGUGAUCUUUUUAAAACAACUGGAUUUUUAAAAAGUUAAUCACCACGUUGUCUCUUCUCACGUUAAGUCAGAAGAUUGAUCGCUUUUGAUGUCUCUAAGUGUAAAGUUAAAGCUCCCAGGAUCCACACCUUAGAUCCACGCCACAACUGUCACAUGUUCAGAAGUGACACAGCUUCUCAAAACCACGCAAGGUAUGCAGGACGACUGGCCGAACUGAGUGGUGGAUAGAUCAAGGCCCUGCAGCUCCCCACUGUUGGAAGCAGCCGUCUAACAGGGCAAGUGUUUGUUACCAGAUCUGGAGCACAGUGGUUCAUGAUUCCUCGAUUAAAGUGUUUACUGAACACCCACCAUGUGCCUGGUGGUGGGCUGGGGACUAAGGAAAUGAACAAGCCUGAUCCCACCAGGUCCUCAAGUGGCUCUAGUCUGAAGCGUCAGAACACGUCUGACCAUCUCCUGGCUCAAGUUCAACAAGAAGAGUGACUCCCCAGGAGAGACUCCAUCAAUGAAGGAGGAGCUGUGUUGAUGAACCCAACCAAGAAGUGGAUGAAAAGAAUGGGGAAAACGGGCAGUCAAGGGAUUACUGGAAUCAAAGAACAUGGUGAUGUAAAUGGUGAGGGCUGGGAAUUCCUUCAACCCAAAUAAGGUAAUAAAAGGUGGGAAAAGUUAGGAGAAAAAUUAGGGUAAGAGGUGUGUUAAAUGUGUGGUUUCUUGUGUUGGGGAGCCAGGGCAGCGGAGAGGGUGACGGUUCUUACAGUUCAGUGUUUGCUGUUCACUUGAUUUCACCUGUUGCCAGGCCUGCGGGUGACCUCCAGCCACCCCUGCACCCUGCACCCCUACAUGUGGGCCUCAGAGGUUCACAGGACCAACCACGUAAUUUAUGGGGCCCAGUGCAAAAUGAAAAUGCAGAGCCCCUUGUUCAAAAUGUAUUCAGAAUUCCGUGGGGAAACGGGGAGAUGUUGAUCAAAGGGUACAGACAUUCAGUUAUAAGAUGACUAUGUUGCUGAGAUCUAAGGUACAGCCUGGUGACUGUAGUUAACAAUAUUGAAUUAUACACUUGAGAGUUGCUGUGACAGUAGAGCUUUAAUGUUCUCACCGUAACAACAACAAGAAAAUGGCAAUUAUGUGAGGUGAAGGGUGUGUAAACUAACCUUCCUGUGGUAAGAAUUUUGUAAUAUAUAAUGUAUAUAUAUGUGUAUCAGGUCAUCAUAUUGUAUACCUUAAACGUACGCAGUGUUGUAUGUCAAUUAUAUCUUGACAAAGCUGAAAAAAAAGUAACUGUGGUGGGAAUAAUGAACCAAAUCAUAUAAAGGUUGAUGUGGUAAUAACAUCAAAUCUGAUCUUUAAACCUUUAUAUCCAAAUUCCUGCUGGCAAGAAACAUAGUCACCAAAAGGCCAGGCUUUAAAAAGUAUUUAAAAUGUCCAGGCAAGGGAGAAAGUAUUUAUGUCUGGACUUAACAGAGUGAGUGAACAUUUUCUUCGAAUCCAUUGAAUGAGGGGAUUUACUCAACAUAAAAAAAAGAAAAAGAAAAAGAAUUUCAACAUAAGAAGAGCAGAGCAUUCAUUCACAAGCUGCAGGAACAUGAAGCAGACCCUUGCGGUUCAAUUUCUCAAAAGGAUAACCUCCCCUUGCCCGUUUGAGGGAGGUGGUGUAGGAUGGAGAUAUUUAAGAGGGGAAUCAACCUGGUGGUCCCUCUGGCCUGGAGGCAGUCCCCCCAUCCCCUCACCCUUGGUUUUGAGGCCACCUAAGAGGUGCCUGCUGGGUUCUGGGUGAGCCCUCUCUCCUCUCAGCAGCCUCUCUCUGAACUUCCUUAAAUCAAUUCUCUCUCCUUCCUCUUUUUAAAAAAAUGUAUUCAAAUUUCUCAUCCAUUGUUGUCUUUAAUGUUCUCUGUCCUCAUGGGUGAACGUAUUCCUCGUUUAUUUACUAUAAUUUAGUGGGAUUUUAGGGGGAGCGGAGUUCAGUGCCUGAGACUGGUCUGCCACUUAGGGCCUUGAAGAGCAAUCCACCAAGAGGGGACAACAGCAAGCUCCUAAGGGGCUUUUGGUGAUGUGUUGAAUCUCUCUGCCGCGCCAGCUCUGGAGCCAGGCUGCGGGGCUCCUAUCCCAGCCCUCCAGUCAGCUGCCGCAUGACCUGCGCAUGUUACUGCUUCCGUUAUGCCUUAGUUUUCUUACCGAUGCAACAGGGCUAUUACAAUAGUACUACUGAUGCUGAAAGCUUGGCCUUUGUGCACGGGUGCUGAAUCAAGUCUCGGAGACAGUUUUAGGUGAAGUAGAAAAGAAUAGCUUUAUUGCUUUGCCAGGCGAAGGCGGAUGUAGCAGGCUCCUGCCUCUCAAAAUUGUGUGCCCCCAACCUGGGAGGAUUUGAUGAGAAGUCUUAUAGCAAUGGUUCAAGGGUGGAGUUGCU